rnacentral:rRNA from 1 species
AGUGAACGCUGGCGGUAGGCCUUACACAUGCAAGUCGAACGGCAGCACAGUAAGAGCUUGCUCUUACGGGUGGCGAGUGGCGGACGGGUGAGGAAUACAUCGGAAUCUACUUUUUCGUGGGGGAUAACGUAGGGAAACUUACGCUAAUACCGCAUACGACCUACGGGUGAAAGCAGGGGAUCUUCGGACCUUGCGCGAUUGAAUGAGCCGAUGUCGGAUUAGCUAGUUGGCGGGGUAAAGGCCCACCAAGGCGACGAUCCGUAGCUGGUCUGAGAGGAUGAUCAGCCACACUGGAACUGAGACACGGUCCAGACUCCUACGGGAGGCAGCAGUGGGGAAUAUUGGACAAUGGGCGCAAGCCUGCUCCAGCCAUACCGCGUGGGUGAAGAAGGCCUUCGGGUUGUAAAGCCCUUUUGUUGGGAAAGAAAAGCAGCAGGUUAAUACCCCGCUGUUCUGACGGUACCCAAAGAAUAAGCACCGGCUAACUUCGUG